GUACACUAUACUAUAGGUCAACAGUACACUAUACUAUAGGUCAACAGCACCCUUUACUAUAGGUCAGCAGUACACUUUACUAUAGGUCAACAGUACACUAUACUAUAGGUCAACAGUACACUAUACUAUGGGUCAAGAGCACACUUUACUAUGGGUAAACAGUAAACUAUACUAUAGGUCAACAGCACAUGAUACAAUAGGUCAACAGGCAACAUACCUGCAGAAACACACAAACACACACACACAUGAAUGGACUUUAAGGGAAGGAAAAAUAGAGAGGCAGACAAACAGGCAGAGAGAGUGAGAGAGAGAGAGACAGAGAGAGACACACACACAGAGAGAGAGAGAGAGAGAGACACAGCGAGA
ensembl:lncRNA